UCCGCGACGGCGCGCUUCGGCUCGGACUGAAUCCAUCCCGCAAUGGAGUUUUGUCCCACCUCGCCGAUUUUGAGAUAGGGCGACCUCUUUAUAAACUCUGGUUGAUCCUCUUGUGUUGCCUCCCCGGAGGCACCCACCCCGACUGACGAUAGCGAAAAGAUCCCCUCCGAGGGGCAGCGGUAGGGCGUGUACCCCCUACCGUUCAGCUGGAAAAAAAAAAGGCAGUGAAAAGAUCCCUACUUUUUGGGCACGGCAGGCGACCCCCUGCCGGUCAGCUGCAAGAAAAAAAAAUAAAGAAAAAUGGAGCAGUGAAAAGAUCCCUACUUGGGCACGGCAGGCGACCCCCUGCCGGUUAGCUUGCAUCCAUAAAAAAAAAAAGAUGCCCUAUAGAGGCACACAGUCGGGCCUCUGGUGGAGGCAGCGUUAGACAUUAGCGCUUUGCUUUUUUGAAAUUAUUCUCUCUUUUUUUUGUUGAAUCCUUGGUUAUAAUCAUGCUUGCCAAUUUCGUUGAACAUCAGCUACAGCUAACAUAGUCGGUAAUUCUAUCAUGAAUACAGGUUUGAGAAAUCACAUAAUGCUUGCCAAUUUGAUUUUUUUUUAACAAACUCCCAUUUUGGUUCCUUAGUGCAGGAAUGGAUCAGCACAAUAUCCUCUGCAAAAUUUCUUCACAGAUAAUUGUCACAACCUGCCAAGUUUCUAUGUAGAUCACUGUUGAACAUCAGCUAUCAUGAAUACAAGUUUCUAUGUAAACACAUAAUGCUUUCCUUGUUUGCUAAUUUGUGAAUUUGGUUGAAAAUCAGCUAUCGUGAAUACAAGUGUGAGAGACCACAUAAUGCUGAGUUAAUUGCAGUAGUAAUUCGUAUGGCUUGCAACAAUUUAUUUAAGGGAGUUUGUUGUACGUAGCUGAGUGAGACUCCAGCGCCCGGCGGCCUCUGACUUCCUCGCUGCGGUUUACAGUGACCUUGGGGAAGAUGGUAUGCAAAUUUUGGUUAAGUCCCACGUAACACCUUGGGCAAGCAAAGAUCAUGAUAGAUUUCUGAACCGUUCAAGCUUCAGAUAAAUGGACAAGUUCAGAACUGUUCUGACUAAUUCACAGAGAAUAGAAAUGUUCAGAACCUAGAUGUGAUCACUGAUAAGUCUUGUUUCACUGAUCACUGAUAAGGAUGUGCUACUGUUUAAGAACCUGCUCAAGGAAAUUGCAUCGUUGAGAAGAUGCGCGAAAGGUCAAACAUGGGUGUUGAAAAUAACUAGCAGUAAUUUUAGCUGUAGCUGACUGGAACAAAGUUUUGGUUAGUGUGCGUACUGCAUAAAUUUAAUUUCAUUCAGGUAGAAGAGUCAAAUUUGAUUGAGGGCGGGAAAUGUCUCUAAUGUUUUGUUUUUUGAAACCUUUUGGCAUGACUAGCUGGCCCAUUUUGUUGGGAAGAAACAAAUUCGAAACAAGAACAUGUCAGGUGACGAGUUGUAAAUACUGGAAUACAAACAUUUGAGACUGGCAGGACUGCAACAGUUCGUUCUCUCCCAACAUUUCAUACUGGCGACCGCGGCCCUUGCAGCCGGCCAUUCGUUCUGCUCAAUCAUCUACACAUUCAACCCAGGCAGCGCCGCAGCUGGUCAGCUAAGCUGCAUUCUUGCAUCCAGGAGAAAAAAAAACAAAUUUAAGGUGAAGUUCCCCUUCGUGGUUAUGGCCAGCAAUUCCAUGGAAAGCUCGUAUGUUCUGAUCAGAUCGAAUUGGGAUCUGUCUGGCGUAUUACUUUGAGUAUGAUGCUGAUAUCAGUAAUUAAUCCAGAUACGAGGAUGCAGUACUAUGCAAUAAUCAAUGAUCAUGGAUAAACCAUAUGGAAGUACCAUGCAAUAUGCCAAGUUUAAAAUGAAGUCAGUAAUCUUCCAGGGUGACGUCGGAGAAGUCACGCAAUCAGUUGCGCAGGACGAGACUAAAGGUGGAAAAUGAAGACAAUGAUGGUAAUGUAUCCGAAAACAACAUCUGAACCAUCAAGGCACAGUGGAAAAUACCACAACCAGCAAACUCACAACCACUCACGGAUUUAUCAUUCUAGAACAUCUUCAUUUGAUGCAUCAUUCUUAGUAUGUUUCUGACUACUGAAAUCUGAUGAGUUACAAGUACAAUUGUUCUUCAAAACUGUUGCUAUUUGAUUGGGCUAUGGCACACCAUAGUACUAUUUAGGGAGAAUUAUAAUGAUAGUAAAUAUUAGGUCUCACAUGUUUGCUCUGUUUUUUAAAAAACAGAAACACGGUCGUUCCUGAGUAGGCAAAUACAGCAUGAUGAUUAAUUCUA